rnacentral:rRNA from 1 species
GGAAUAUUGCGCAAUGGAGGAAACUCUGACGCAGCCAUGCCGCGUGAGUGAAGAAGGCCUUAGGGUUGUAAAGCUCUUUCAGACGUGAUGAUGAUGACAGUAGCGUCAAAAGAAGUUCCGGCUAACUUCGUGCCAGCAGCCGCGGUAAUACGAAGGGAACUAGCGUUGUUCGGAUUUACUGGGCGUAAAGAGCAUGUAGGCGGAUUGGACAGUUGAGGGUGAAAUCCCAGAGCUCAACUCUGGAACGGCCUUCAAUACUUCCAGUCUAGAGUCCGUAAGGGGGUGGUGGAAUUCCGAGUGUAGAGGUGAAAUUCGUAGAUAUUCGGAGGAACACCAGUGGCGAAGGCGACCACCUGGUACGGUACUGACGCUGAGAUGCGAAAGCGUGGGGAGCAAACAGGAUUAGAAACCCCAGUAGUCC